rnacentral:rRNA from 1 species
UACGUAGGGUGCAAGCGUUGUCCGGAAUUAUUGGACGUAAAGAGCUCGUAGGCGGUCUGUCACGUCGGCUGUGAAAACCCGAGGCUCAACCUCGGGCCUGCAGUCGAUACGGGCAGGCUAGAGUUCGGCAGGGGAGACUGGAAUUCCUGGUGUAGCGGUGAAAUGCGCAGAUAUCAGGAGGAACACCGGUGGCGAAGGCGGGUCUCUGGGCCGAUACUGACGCUGAGGAGCGAAAGCGUGGGGAGCGAACAGG